UGUUGGGGGCCGGUGGUCUGGAGGGGUGAACGGGGAGAAGGGAAUGAAUGCUUGCUUCCCCAUGGACUGGAGGGCUGGUGCGAGGUCCAUCCAAGCCAUCUCGUGGUCCUGCUGAGUACUACACUGUGGCUUCACACUUAUCCCACCCCAGGCCUGGUGAGACUCUCAGCUCUGCCCCAUGAAUGUCUGCUCUCCCAGAAAUUCAUGGGUCUAGGAGCUUGGGGUCCCCAGAGGCUCAUGGGAGCAGAAGCUUGGGGUCCCCCAGAGGCUCAUGGGAGCAGAAGCUUGGGGUCCCCCAGAGGCUCAUGGGAACAGAAUCUUGAGGUCCCCCAGACUCAUAGGAGCAGGAGCUUAGAGUGACCCAGAGGCUCAUGGGAGCAGAAGCUUCGGGUCCUCCAAGGGCUCAUGGGAACAGGAGUCUGGAGUGCCCCUCAGGCUCAUGGGAGCAGUUUUUAGAGUCUUCCAGAGGCUUAUGGGAGCAGGAGUUUAGGGCACCCAGAGGCUCAUGGGAACAGGGUUUAUGGGUCCCCCAGAAGCUCAUGGGAGCAGAAGCUUGGGGUCCCCCAGAGACUCAUGGGAGCAUGAGUUUAAGAUCCCCUCCAGAGACUCAAGGGAGCAGAAGUUUAGGGUCUCCCAGAGGCUCAUA